GCACACGGACCACGCGGCCAUGCCGGGGUCCCGCCAGGAGCCGGAAACGGGGCACACUGCCCGUGCGGUUGGCCAGCUCGCCCGCAUCUAGGACGGUGGAGUCCAGGCGCAGGGUGGCACCCUGGGGCCACGGCCCACCCGCCCACACUCGCAGCAGCGCCCUGACGGUGAUGUUCACUGUGGCCGACGCGUUGGCACCUCUGGCCAGUGCCAGGACGCUGAAGUGGUCGCGAGAGGAGGAGAAGUUGGUGAAGGCGAAGACCACCUCCCCCUGGUCUACCUGGAGCUGGCUGAAGGCCGUGGCCGGCUGCCCGGCCACCAGGAGCUGCCCGAACCGGGGCCCCCUGGUGAGGCGGUAGGCUGCGUCUGGCUCCUCCCGGUCUGACACCACCUGGAGCUGCUCCCGGCUCAGGGAGGAGCGCCCCAGGGCCUGGGGCACCUCUAGGGGCGCGCGCAGCCACACGUCGAUGGCCGCCGGCAAGACGUCCACGGCCAGGGCCACGGGCAGCGGGGGGCUGGCCCCGUCAGACACGCUCAGCUGCACGAUGCUGGCCACGCUGCUCCCGUUGGCCACGAAGGCCAGCCGCCCCGCGUCCACGUCGGCCUGCGUGAAGCGGAUCACGGGCCCCGGGCCGGCCCCCGCCAGACUCAGGAAGCCGUUGAGGGGGGCCCGCUGCACCUCGUACUCGAUCUCCCCGGGGGCCGAGUCUGGGUCCACCACACUCAGCUGGGCCCGGGAGACCGGGGCGCGGGAGCCCCGGAUGAGCCGCAGCGGCACGGAGGCCUGGGGCCGAGGCGGCCGCUCGUUCACGUCCCGCACGGUGAUGGCGAAGGCCUCCGAGGUUUGGGGGCCCGAAACGGAAGCCCCCGCCGGCCCCUGGAGGUGGGCGCGGAAGCGGAAGCCAUCCUGCUGGGUGCCCCCGCCGCCGUGGGCGU
rnacentral:lncRNA from 1 species